CACGUAGUUAGCCGUGGCUUCCUCCUUGGGUACCGUCAUUAUCGUCCCCAAAGACAGAGCUUUACAACCCGAAGGCCCUCAUCACUCACGCGGCGUUGCUGCAUCAGGGUUUCCCCCAUUGUGCAAUAUUCCCCACUGCUGCCUCCCGUAGGAGUCUGGGCCGUGUCUCAGUCCCAAUGUGGCCGAUCACCCUCUCAGGUCGGCUACGCAUCGUCGCCUUGGUGAGCCAUUACCUCACCAACUAGCUAAUGCGCCGCGGGUCCAUCUUAUAGCGGACUGCUCCUUUGGUUAUCGAUUCAUGCGAAUCAACAACUUUAUGCGGUAUUAAUCUUCCUUUCGGAAGGCUAUUCCCCUCUAUAAGGCAGGUUACCCACGUGUUACUCACCCGUCCGCCGCUAAUCCGUUCCCGAAGGAACUUCAUCGCUCGACUUGCAUGUGUUAGGCACGCCGCCAGCGUCGUCUCGUAGCCACGGAGUCAACUAC
rnacentral:rRNA from 1 species